CCCUUAGACGUUCUGGGCCGCACGCGCGCUACACUGACGAAGGCAACGAGCUUUCCUUUACCGAAAGGUACGGGUAAUCCUUUGAAACUUCGUCGUGCUGGGGAUAGAUCCUUGCAAUUUUUGAUCUUAAACGAGGAAUGCCUAGUAAGCGCAAGUCAUCAACUUGCGUUGAUUACGUCCCUGCCCUUUGUACACACCGCCCGUCGCUACUACCGAUUGAAUGGUUUAGUGAGGCCUUCGGAUCCGCGACUCGUUUGUGGAGAAGUUGGACAAACUCAGUCAUUUAGAGGAAGUAAAAGUCGUAACA
rnacentral:rRNA from 1 species